CUUUAACAGAGCUACUGCAGACAGAACAAGGGAAACAGCUCUGCCAAUAGCUCCCAGUGUGUGUGUGUGUGUGUGUGUGUGUGUGUGUGUGUGUGUGUGUGUGUGUGUGUGUGUGUGUGUGUGUGUGUGUGUGUGUGUGUGUGUGUGUGUGUGUGUGUGUGUGUGUGUGUGUGUGUGUGUGUGUGUAAGCCCUAUGCAUGACUGCUAGUCUUCUGAGCGAGUAGACUGCCGUCUGGUCGUCAUGGUUGUGUUGGACUGAAUGGAGCCGCUCUCCAUUUCUACGGAAUUAUCAAUUGGCAUCCUCCAGCUGUCCUCUCGGUCGUCCCAAUAUGCCCCCUGCUGAGGCUGCUGACACAUGGAGACGAUGAGCUGGGACCCCUCCACACAGGAAGUGCACAAGGUUGCCCAGACAAGAGCGUCUAUCAACACACAGCGGGAAUUGAAAACGGGUUUCUUCAGAGCGAGAAAAUGAAAGAAAAAGCUGUGUUUUUUCCCUCUGCAGAAGAGGAAAUGACAAGCGCCAUGACCCCUGACCUCCAGGGUCCCGGGGGGAAGGCGAUCAGGGCAGCAACAUGGGGUCGCCUCAUUUGGGAAGGAGCCAAACUGUUUUCUUUAAUUGGC
rnacentral:lncRNA from 1 species